AACGUAGGUGGCAAGCGUUAUCCGGAAUUACUGGGCGUAAAGAGCGCGCAGGCGGUCGUUCAAGUCGAGUGUGAAAGCCCCCGGCUCAACUGGGGAGGGUCAUUCGAUACUGAUCGACUUGAAGGCAGGAGAGGGAAGUGGAAUUCCCGGUGUAGAGGUGAAAUUCGUAGAUAUCGGGAGGAACACCGGUGGCGAAGGCGGCGACCUGGGUCGAUACUGACGCUGAGGUGCGAAAGCGUGGGGAGCAAACAGG
rnacentral:rRNA from 1 species